AGGAAGUCAGGCACGUGCCGCUUUGCGUAAUGGGAUGUCAUGUGACCAAAUCGACCAAUCGCCGCAAGUUCGCAACUAAUUGGACAAAGAAAUGCACUUAAUGACACUUAAUAUUGAUCUGAUUUUACUCAUUCAUUGCUCUAACAAACGGUAACGGAGUUGUCACUUGACUAGAGACGCAAGAAUAUUCGUAAAAAUCAAUUAAUUAUGCCACGAUUGUGUUGUCAGGUAUGUGCAACGUUUUUUUCAACGUCUGUCGCUGGAAUGUUGCAUCAUUUGGUCGCUGUUCAUGAACACGAUGCCAGAUUGCAUAUUCUCUGCGAAGUGCCGGAAUGUAAUUCAACCUUCGCUAAGGUUAACUCUUACAAAAGUCAUCUUAGAAGAAAGCACGCCAAUGUUGACUUAAACUCACGUCAUCUAUGUUGCGUUGAAUCAGCGAGUAGCACUCACAACAAUUUUUGUCCUGAUGAGGAUGGCCUUGAACUCUUAAUUGAUGAAUUCAACAGUGAAAAUGAACUUGAUGACUCUGUUCAAGCAAUGGAACACAAAAAGGCUCAAUUUCUUCUAAAACAAAACAAAUCAAUCUGCUCACACAAAAAUGUGUGGAUAACAUUGUAGAAGAUUCCACUGAACUUGUCCAAGGAACAGUCAAAGCAAUUAAACACGGUUUGCAAAAUUGCGUAGAGAAAGCUGGAUUAAAUUAUGAUGAUGUGCCAGGUCUUGAUGAAUUAUUUGAUGAAGGACAUGCUAUCUCAAAUCCAUUCAAACAUAUUUCCACAAAGUAUAAACAGAAAGCUUAUUUUGAGGAGCAUUUUGGCUUAGUUCAACCCAGAGGAAUUAAACUUGGACACAGAGUUGUGAAAAGACGUUCAAGGACUGUGUACAAAGAGGUUAUUAAAGAUGACGAAAUCAUGUACAUACCACUGCUUAAAUCCUUGGAAAAAUGCUCAAUGUAAAAGGAGUACUUGAACAGCUAAACCAUGGUCAUCUUCGGCAACAUAAACAUGAUGAUGUGAUUGAGGAUGUUUGCGAUGGCCAGUAUUUCAAAACCCAUCCUCUGUUUUCCAAGGACUCAACUGCUUUACAAAUCAUGCUUUACUAUGAUGAGUUGGAAAUUGCAAAUGCCCUUGGUAGUAAAACUGGAAAGCAUAAGUUAGGAGUUGUUUACUACACAACUGGAAAUAUUGAUCCUCGAUAUCGAUCCCAGUGUGAUAACAUUCACCUACUCCUUAUGGCAACAGUUCCAAUUAUCAAAAAAUAUAGCAUUGACAUUCUCUUGGAGCCUUUCAUGAAUGGCCUUGAAUACCUUGAACAAGAUGGUGGUCACCAGUUCAUUGUUAAAGGUGAACCUAUGUCAUUUUCUGGGACUAUUGUGUUGGUUUCUGGAGACAAUCUUGGAUCACAACUCAUGGGUGGAUUCAAAAAACGUCCAGGUGCACAUUUGAAAUGCCGGCAAUGCAUGGGGACCACUGAACAAAUAAAGCAGAAGGUAUUUUUUAGAAAAACAUUUUACACUUCAAACUCGUGCUGGUCAUGACUGCCAAUGUGAACUGAUUGAAGAAAACCCAGAACUGAGUAAAGCAUAUGGGCUUUGCAGGAGAUCAAUUCUUUGCAACUCUAGGUAUUUUCAUGUAGCAGAUGGCAUGCCAGGUGAUGCAAUGCAUGAUAUACUAGAAUGAGUACUUCAGUAUGUAUGUAAAGAAUUGCUGAAGGACUUCAUAUUUAAAGAAAAAUUUUUAACAGUGGAGCAACUUAAUGAAAGACUUAACUCUUUUGAUUAUGGAUAUUUUAAUGAUAAAAACAAGCCAUCACCAAUCUCCUGGACAACUUUGAGGAGUGAAAACAUUAGUUUAAAGCAAAAAGCAAGACAAAUGUGGUGCCUUGGAAAAUUCCUUCCUUUAGCUCUCGGCAGUGCCAUUCCUCAGGAUGAAGAAAAGUGGAGGCAUUUUCUGUUGCUCCUUAAAAUUGUUGACAUUG